AGCCAGACCCGCAGGCUCCCGCCCCCGCCGCGCUGCGAAGCUCAGAGCCCGCGGGCCUGACCACAGCUGGCUGAGCUCCCUCCCCGGGGCUCAGCUGGUUCUGCUGUGAAUGGCACACCGGGGGUGCUGGGCAGCGUGAAGGCUGGUGAUCUGGGUUUGCAGGGACCAGUGAAGCCAGCCACUCCACCGCCCCAUCGAAUCGUGCCCCCUCCCCCGCAUCAGAAACCUGGGCGUGUGCAGGUUGUGGAAAGGGGAGUGUGCGAUCUGCCAGCCUUUGGAGAAAACCCUGAGGAGCUUGACUGCCAGUUGCUCCUGGGCCAGUGGUGUGCCCUGUGCCUUUAUCCCAGUGGACACCCCUCUGCUCAUCCCAGUGGGCCGUGAGCGCUCUAGGGCAGGACUCCCACAUGGUGCUUGGCACAUAGGAGAUGCUCAUGCAAAUGAGCAUCUUUGUUGAAUGAAUGAAUGAACAUCUGAAGAGGUUCUGUGCUCUGGCCACCCCUACUUGGAAUAUGGUGAAUUACGGUGCUGAGAGGGAUUCUAGGAUCAUCAGCCCCACCCCUCUUUCCAGGUGAAGACAACCUAAUAUAAACCACCUCCAAUCCCUGUCACAUCGCGAUGGCUUCCAGGACACCCCAACCCAAAUGGCCCUCAAUUCCGCUGAGUGUCCUGACACACCUGCUCCUCUCCUUUGGCUCCCGCUCAUGGCUUCCUUUGAGAUGUCCUUUGACCUACUUCUCUUUAUUGUCUUGGCCUUUAACCUGCAUAUCCUGUUUCUCUAACUAAAUUAUAAACUUCCUGAAGGGAGUAAGCAUGCCUUAUAUUUCUCUACAUUCUCACUGGAGCCCCAGUAGAGCUUACUAAAUAUUUAUUGGCUAA